CGAUUUAACCUAUGUGUAUCCCAAAAGAACACAAUGUAUAAUCUGAUAAAAUAUGUCAUACAACCUAUGACGCGUGGCUCAAUUCGGUGGUUCGACAUGCUCCAAAGCUGCUCAAUUUGUCUGUUUUCUGUCUGAUAAAGAAAAAUGUGAAAAAUAUAUGAGCUUAAAGCUCAGUGAGUGGAUAAUUUACAAAUAAACAUAUUUUUCUUUUAUGCAUAUAUUCUGAAAAUUCUUGCUCUAUCAAAACUUUGAGAAAUUCUGAAAUCUGGUAACACUUUUAAAACUAAACAUAAUUUCAUCAUAAAAUUCUUUGCUC
rnacentral:lncRNA from 1 species